GUGAAUCAUCGAAUCUUUGAACGCAAAUUGCACUCUCUUCGGAGAGUAUGCCUGUUUGAGGGUCAGUCUAUAAAAAAUCGACAUCGUUGCUGCUUCGUGGUAACGUUCGUCGGAGGUUGGGUCAUCUUAAAUCUUUUUGUAUAAGCGACUUAAAUGUUUCUUUUUGAUUCCAUUAACGUUUCUAAGAUUUUUUUCUUUACACGUUUAUGUUAUCGAUUAAUUAGCUGUUACCUGCAUAUCGGAU
rnacentral:misc_RNA from 1 species